rnacentral:misc_RNA from 1 species
AACAAGGCGUACCUGCGGACCUGCGGAGGGAUCAUUAACGAGCGUAACCUACCCUUUUAAAAAAUGGGUGGUACCUCCCGUCCUUUGCGGGCCCCCUUCUUUUAUUAAGGGGGGGGCUUUUAAGACUUUCUGCUUCGGCGGGGUUAUUCCCGCCGGAACACCUUCAAAAAACUCUUGAUCAAAAAACUGUUCAGUCCGAGAAUUUUUGAAAAUUAAAACAAAACUUUCAACAAUGGAUCU